CCCUAGUAUAAAUUUAAUAUAAGAUUAGUAUAUUUAGAAUCUUAAAGGCUUUGGCGGUAAAAUUUAUUUUAGGGGAGCUUGUUUAAUAAUUGAAUUUACCCAAUAAAUCUUACUUCUCAAAACUCGUCUACUGCCGUUAUAAACACUAUAGUGUAGUAAAACACCUCAUAAUGGAAUAUUUCAGGUCAAAGCGCGGUUUAAGAAGUUAAAAUGAGCUAUAUUUAUAAAGAAUAGAGAAUUAUCAGUUGGAUAAUAGAUAUGAAAGGAGACUUAAUUGUAAAAAUUUUUAUAGUGAAGAAUUGAUUAAUAAUUUUAUGUA
rnacentral:rRNA from 1 species